AGUGAACGCUGGCGGUAGGCCUAACACAUGCAAGUCGAACGGCAGCACAGUAAGAGCUUGCUCUUACGGGUGGCGAGUGGCGGACGGGUGAGGAAUACAUCGGACUCUACUUUUUCGUGGGGGAUAACGUAGGGAAACUUACGCUAAUACCGCAUACGCCCUACGGGUGAAAGCAGGGGAUCUUCGGACCUUGCGCGAUUGAAUGAGCCGAUGUCGGAUUAGCUAGUUGGCGGGGUAAAGGCCCACCAAGGCGACGAUCCGUAGCUGGUCUGAGAGGAUGAUCAGCCACACUGGAACUGAGACACGGUCCAGACUCCUACGAGAGGCAGCAGUGGGGAAUAUUGGACAAUGGGCGCAAGCCUGAUCCAGCCAUACCGCGUGGGUGAAGAAGGCGUUCGGGGUGUAAAGCCCUUUUGUUGGGAAAGAAAAGCAGCAGGUUAAUACCCCGCGGUUCUGACGGUACCCAAAGAAGAAGCACCGGCUAACUUCGUG
rnacentral:rRNA from 1 species